rnacentral:rRNA from 1 species
GACGAACGCUGGCGGCGUGCUUAACACAUGCAAGUCGAACGGGUCUGCCCUGUUUUUUGCGGGGUGGGUCAGUGGCGAACGGGUGAGUAACACGUGAGUAACCUGCCCCUCACUUCUGGAUAACCGCUUGAAAGGGUGGCUAAUACGGGGUGUUCUGGCUGUGCCGCAUGGUGUGGCUGGGAAAGAUUCACUUUUGUGGUGUUUUGGUGGGGGAUGGGCUCGCGGCCUAUCAGCUUGUUGGUGGGGUGAUGGCCUGCCAAGGCUUUGACGGGUAGCCGGCCUGGGAGGGUGGGCGGUCACACUGGGACUGAGAUACGGCCCAGACUCCUGCGGGAGGCACCAGUGGGGGGUAUUGCACAAUGGGCGGAAGCCUGAUGCAGCGACGUCGCGUGAGGGAUGGAGGCCUUCGGGUUGUGAACCUCUUUCGCCGGUGAAGAAGGUCCUGCUCUUUGUGGUGGGGUUGACGGUAGCCGGGUUAUGAAGCGCCGGCUAACUACGUG